AACGUAGGACGCAAGCGUUAUCCGGAGUUACUGGGCGUAAAGCGCGGGCAGGCGGCUCGAAACGUCUGAUGUGAAAUCUCCUCGCUCAACGGGGAGAGGCCAUUGGAAACGGUCGGGCUGGAGGGCAGUAGAGGCAGGCGGAAUUCCGGGUGGAGUGGUGAAAUGCGUAGAGAUCCGGAGGAACACCAGAGGCGAAGGCGGCCUGCUGGGCUGCACCUGACGCUGAACUGCGAAAGCCAGGGGAGCGAACGGG
rnacentral:rRNA from 1 species